AACGCAUAUUGCGCUCUCUGGUAUUCCGGAGAGCAUGCUUGUUUGAGUAUCAGUAAACACCUCAACUCCCCUUUCUUUUUUGAAAUGGGAGCUGGACUUGAGUGAUCCCAACGCUUUUCUCACCGAAAAGCGGCGGGUUACUUGAAAUGCAGGUGCAGCUGGACUUUUCUCUGAGCUAUAAGCAUAUCUAUUUAGUCUGCCUAAAAAACAGAUUAUUACCUUUGCUGCAGCUAACAUAAAGGAGAUUAGUUCUUGUGCUGACUGAUGCAGGAUUCACAGAGACAGCUUCGGCUGGCCUUUGUAAACUCGAUCUCAAAUCAAGUAAGACUACCCGCUGAACUUAA
rnacentral:misc_RNA from 1 species